rnacentral:lncRNA from 1 species
CAGAAAUUAAAGGCAUCUGGAGCUGCAUUUGAUGGGUGUUGGGGGAGAAGGGUAUGGCAGCAAAUAAAUGCUUGUUUCCUUGGUGCACCCACCCCAAUGCAUAGACUGCAAUGGUCAUGUAACUCUUCUUCUUUUAUUCAAUUUCUCCCAAUCCUGCUGAUUCCCUACCUUUCUAAGAUGGUUUUUGUUUUCUGUCACAAAGGUCCCAAUUUGGGCCCUGACUCUGCUGGAGAGAAGAGAAAGACCGAGAAGCAGCCUACCCUACCUGUAGCUCUGGGUCUGAGGAUGACCAGGAGAACAGAGAGCAAAGCAGAGUCAAUGCAAGACCGAAGGGUCUCUCACAGGUCAACGCUGGAUCUACUCCAUCAUCAUCUUCACUAGGACACCCAGUUCGAUUGAGGAGCCUUGACAUGGUAUAUUGACAGAAUAUUGAGAGAAAAGAGAAAUGGUGAAUCAAGCACUAAUCUCAAAGCUUCUGCACAGAACUACUUACAUGUCACUUCUUCCCAUGACUAUUCCUAAAUUCAGCCAAAAGGGGACACAUAAUCUCUUAUGGGGGAGGGCACCACAGGGAGAGAAACCCGAAUAUUUGGUGAAUAGUAACACAAUCUACUUUGUUAUAGAAUCUGUCCUCAAUGGUCUUACAGUCCAAGAGCGUUAUGUUUAGUUAUAGUAGUCUUAAAUAUGAUACUAAAUGAAUUGAAUAGCCAGACAUCUGUGAAAGUGAAACUGUGAUAAUACAAAGUCAGUGUGCUUUUAAGUUUCAAUUGCUUAAGGCUGUUUGGAAGUAAGGAUCAAAUGAGUUCAGAGCCCUAGGAUUCAAAAAUAACUCCAGAAUCUUUUAUCACUCCCCAAAGGAAAAGCAAUAAUAAGUAAGUUACCAGACGUUCAUGUAAUCUCUCUGAAACUGUAAGACUAACAAAGGAAAAUUUUCAAAAGGCAAAAAUACUCUAUCAUUUAUUUGCAAUAGAAAUUAUUCAGCCGGGCACGGUGGCUCAUGCCUAUAAUCCCAGUACUUUGGGAGGCCGAGGUGGACCUGAGGUCAGGAGGUCGAGACCAGACUAAUCAACAUGGAGAAAUCCUGUCUUUACUAAAAAUACAAAAUUAGCCAGGCAUGGUGGGCUAACAGG